rnacentral:lncRNA from 1 species
UCAAGGCUGGUCCAUUAGGGAUAUGUUUGACACUAUGAAAUAUUUGAUAUUUCUGAAUGAUGGGUUUGACUUAACUAAAAUUUAUCUUUUGUUGAGUACACUCAAGGAGAUAGAUUUUAGAGACAUGAUAAAAUAUGUGAGGACAAGGAGUUGUCAACUUAAUGAUCUAGGAAUUGUAUGCAAAUCCCCUCAAUAAAAUAUUAAGUCACAUUUGUAAUCGCCUUCCAUCAUUAUAGUGAAAAACCAGAGUCCCAAAUCGUCUCAGCUUGUUGAGUACACUCAAGGCUGGUCCAUUAGGGAUAUGUUUGACACUAUGAAAUAUUUGAUAUUUCUGAAUGAUGGGUUUGACUUAACUAAAAUUUAUCUUUUGUUGAGUACACUCAAGGAGAUAAAUUUAAGAGGCAAGUUAAGCUAACACAUAAGAUGUGUAAAAACAAAAAGUUGUCAGCUUAAUGAUCUGGGAGUUGUAUGGAGAUACAAUUGAUAAUAGUAUCUACCCAAAUAUUAUAUUAGGGCUUGUUGAGUACACUCAAGGUCUUAAUAUAAUAGAUGGGAUCCCAGCCCACUGGGAGUCAAGCAUGGACUCCAUAAAUUUAUGUAAGAGGGUCAUAAAUUUUAUUUAAACAGUGGGAGCAUAAUUAAUUUAAUAAAAGUCCAUGUUAAAUUAAUUAAUGCAUUUUAUAUAUUUUAUUCUUUUCUUUUUCGUCAUUUACAUUUAUAUUGAAUCUGAGUAACCAUAUGUUUUGAAUGGCAUACUAGAUGCCAACAACCAAACUAUAUUUUCUUAAUUGACACUGCAAUUUGAAAAUUGUUCUUAUGCAUGAGAAAGUUGGUCACGUCCUUGAGUAGCCCCUUCCAGAGACACCUGGUGAUGACUCGAUAAAGGAAGAGGUGGCUACUAUAGUAAACGCAGUGAUGAUAAUAGUACUGCAACGUAUGUGAUACUUGCAACUAUGUCACUGAGUUACGAAAGCAACUUGAGAGUAUAGAUGUUAACACAUAAUUCUUCACUACAAAGAGUUGUAUGAUAGUAAUCAUGUGUGGAAGGAUAUGAGACUUCCAAACAACUAUACAGGUGCAAAAUGACAGAGUAAUCUUCAAUCGAUGCUUAGAUACUGAAGAUGAUUGACGUUGAGAAAUGUCUCAACUGUAUUCAAUCAUAAACCAUGAACUAAGUAGUGACUUGGUCUUGUAAUCUCUGUCAGCUAAAGCUAUUCACAACUAAUUAUGAAUUUAACGUGAAUAAGCUCGAAUACAAAAAUAUUGAGUUGCUUAACAUGCUUAGGACUGUUAACCCUAGUGGGCAAACCAUUGAUUCCUUUAAAGAUAUUAAGAGGAAGUCUAAAGGGGCUUUGUGAAAGCACCCAAUAUGGUUAAGACAGUAUAAGCGAAAGGACAAAUACCAAAUCUAAUGACCAUUGGUUUCAUUAUAGAAUGAGAGGUCAUUAGAAGGAAUAUUGUAUGGCUUACGUCUACUUCACGAG